GAGAAUUGCAUUGCAUUGAUUAAACCCCUUCACAAAGGCCACCUGCUUGGUUUGCUUGUUGCAUUCAACAUGAACCUUCCCUCAGUUUAAUUUAGGAAUUCUCACCUUCUUUCAGACGGCUUCUACCUCAUGUUGAGCUCCAAUCAGUCACAAACCUUCAGUGAUAACAGCAAAGAAGGGUGUUGAUGGUUUCGCAGGGGACUGCUUUGUGUGCCAUUUAGUCCAGGUUGUCUGCAUAUAAAGCUGAUUGCCUGUGGAGGCUUGCUGAACUUCACGGUACCAUCUGAAAUUCCCAUGAGGACUGUAGAUGAGUCCCUGGCUUCUCUCUUUGAUGUCACCAUUGAGUGCAAUGUCCACACCUCCCAGCAUGACUUUAACUGCAUGAGUCUGCGUUCUCAGGACUGUGCCGAUAACGCCACUGGGCUUCGCAGCGACCGGCGGCAGCUGGGUUUCUAUGGCGACCCCACAGCAGGCGUGGUGGAGGACUGCCAAAGGUCUGGCU